rnacentral:lncRNA from 1 species
AUGCAGGGAGGCAGGACGCGUUCUGCUGGGGGGUUGGUGGUUUUCGGAGCAGGACGCAGGGCAAGGCUGGGCCAGAGCGGAGCGCACGUCCGCACCAGGGGGCCGCGCCCCGGGGGGGCCUCGCACCCCCCCCACGACAGCAAACAGCAGCUCCAAGAAGGAAGAAGAGGAUGCCUCGUGGGGUGCCCAGGGGCGGGGGGGGGGGGGCGGGGGGGCGGAGGGGCGGCUCGUGGAUGCCCAGGGGCGGGCGGUGGGGUGCCCAGGGGCGGGGCGGGGCGGAGGGGCGGCCUCGUGGGAUGCCCAGGGGCGGGGCGGGGGGGCGGCCCCUUGGGGUGGGGUGGGGUGGGGCGGAGGGGGCGGCCCCGUGGGGUGCCCAGGGGCGGGGCGGGGGGGCGGCCCCGUGGGGUGCCCAGGGGUGGGUGGAGGGUGCGGCCCCGCGGGUGGGGCGGGGCGGGGGGGGCGCGGCCGAGAAGGCCCUCCCGAGCGCACAGGGCGCCCCGGCAUCCGCGCGGUCGGGUGCUCCGCGCCGGCUCCGCGGGGGGGGGGGUCCGGGGCCGCGCUCCCCCGCCGCCCGCCCGCCCGCGCGCGCCCGUUGCCCGCACCUCCCUCCCCGGGCCGCGGCUCGCAGGCAGCCCCGAGCGGGGGUGCGGGGCGCGGGAGGGGCCCGGAGGGGCGGGGCGGGGCGCGGCCUGCGGGGCGGGCUCGUCCGGGGCGGGGCGGGGCGGGGGCGCGCGGCGGCGGCGGCGGCGGCGGCGGCGGCCGCGUGCCCGGAGCUGCGGGCGGACGCCGGGAGCUGAGCGCCGCCGCGGGGAGGCCGGGCCCGGAGCCGCCGCGAGCUCGGCCGCGGACGCGCAGGGGAAGAUGGCGACGGCCGGCGCGAGCUGCGAGCCCGGCGUGUCCCGCGGCCCGGAGGACGCGGCGGGCGGCGCGGCGGAGGCGGCGGUACGCGGGGCGCGGGCGGGGGCGCGGGCGGGGGCGCGGGCGGGGGCGCGGGCGGGGGCCGGGGGCGCCCUGCGGCGGGUCGGGCGGUGCCGGCGGCGCAGGGUGGGCGGCCGCGGGGUGACGCCGCCUCGGGGCAUCCGUGCGGCCCGGGCAGGUGGGCCAUUGUGUGCGCCCCGAGCCGAGCCCGCCCGACCCCGACCCCGAGCCCGAGCCCGAGCCGCACGGCGGGGAGGCCUGCGCCGGAGUCCGGGGGCGGCGGGGGCGCGGGGGGCCGGGGGGGGCCGGGACCCGCGGGGCCGCUCUUCCCCCGCGUCGGGGCGCGCAGCUUCCAGCGGGAGGCGGACCCCGGGGGAGCCCGCAGCCGGGGAGGGGAGGGGAGGGGAGGGGAGGGGGCGCGACCGGCCAGCGCCCCGGGGAGCGGGGCUGCCGGGUGCCGCUUGCAAAACUUGCAAGUCUUCAUCGGAAACUUUCGGGAAAAAUCGACUUUUCGUUCUUUGCACGGAAAACGUGAGCUGCAGGGUUCAGAGGAAUCCGGCUCCCUUCGGUGACAUACCCCGCGGAACCGGCUGUGUAGACGCCGCAGACCUCUGGGGGGUGGGAGCGAGCGGCGCCUUCCUCCCCGGGGCUGCGGGGGGCGACCUGGGGGCUGCAAAGUGGCUGCGGGGGGCGACCUGGGGGCUGCGGGGUGCUGCCUAG